UGGGGAAUCUUGGACAAUGGGGGCAACCCUGAUCCAGCCAUGCCGCGUGAGUGAUGAAGGCCUUAGGGUCGUAAAGCUCUUUCGCCUGUGAAGAUAAUGACGGUAGCAGGUAAAGAAACCCCGGCUAACUCCGUGCCAGCAGCCGCGGUAAUACGGAGGGGGUUAGCGUUGUUCGGAAUUACUGGGCGUAAAGCGCACGUAGGCGGACCAGAAAGUUGGGGGUGAAAUCCCGGGGGCUCAACCCCGGAACUGCCUCCAAAACUAUUGGUCUAGAGUUCGAGAGAGGUGAGUGGAAUUCCAAGUGUAGAGGUGAAAUUCGUAGAUAUUUGGAGGAACACCAGUGGCGAAGGCGGCUCACUGGCUCGAUACUGACGCUGAGGUGCGAAAGUGUGGGGAGGCAAACAGGAAUUGAGAUACCCUGGCUAGUCCACACCGUAAAACGAUGAAUGCCAGUCGUCGGGUAGCAUGCUAUUCGGUGACACACCUAACGGAUUAAGCAUUCCGCCUGGGGAGUACGGUCGCAAGAUUAAAACUCAAAGGAAUUGA
rnacentral:rRNA from 1 species